GAUCGCUAUGAACGGAGUCCGAUACGCGCCGAAAGGCAACUCUACUCCGUGGUUUCUCCGGAAAACCGGAGUUACUAUUCACUUUAAGUGAUUAGUUUUAAUCGCGUAACUUCUCCAUUCUAGCUCAUUUUCUCCUAAAACUUGACGAGUGCUUAUGUAAUUAAAUUACACACAUAAAUAUCAUCAACAGAGAGUUUAUUUGCACUGUAAAAAUCUCAGUCCUUACAAUAUCAAAGUUUAAAUUUUAAAUUUUGAUUUAAACUCAAAUUUAAAUUUUAAUGUAAAAUAAAUGGAUAGAAUUGCUAUGUUUAACAGAUUAAUCAUAAUUGUUCGUUCUUAUUUGAAAUAUUUUUAACAAAUUGAUCAUAACCAUUUAUACAAUUGAAUUUAUAGAUGGAUAUGAAUACUAUUUUUUAACAGGUUGAUCAUAACCGUUCAUUCUUAUUUGAGAUACUUUUAAUGAAUUAAUCAUAACCGUUUAUAAGAAAUAUUCUUUUAUUCCUUUUUGAUUCCGUCUAUUAUUUUUAUAAGCUUAUAUAUAUAUAUAUAUAUAUAUAUAUAUUAUACUCAUAAGUUUUCGGCCCUUAGAUUUAUUCCAUUGAUCAUUUUCACCCGUUAGAUCAUACUAUUCAACCAACUACCCACUCCACCCUAGGGGACCACUGUCAUUUUAAGUGGGGACCACCAUCAUUCUAACCACACAUUCCAUCAAACAACGGUUAAAAAUUUAUGAGUACAAGGGUUCUAUACUCAUAAUAGUAUAGUAGCCCCAGCCUAUAACAUAUAUAUAUAUAUAUAUAAUAUAUAUAUAUAUAUAUAUAUAUAAUAUAUAUAUAUAUAUAUAUAAUAUAUAUAUAUAUAUAGUAUAUAUAUAUAUAUUUGAUGUUAUACUUGAAUUUGUAUUUUAAAAGAAUUUAAUUUAAUAUAGCAUAUUUUGAAAUAUGGUAAAAAGAAAUAAUUAUUUUGGAUUCGUGUUUUGGGAAACAUCUUGCUUUUGGAUCUGAAUGGAGAUUAAAAUAGGAUUAUCCUAAUCUAAACUCUAUAAGUUAAAAUAGGAUAUCUGGUUUCAUUCCUAGUUGAACUCAAUUUUGAGUCAAAUUUCAAAAAAAAGUAAAAAAAAUAUUAAAUUAACAGUUUAAUUUGAAAUUUUUGUUUUAAAAAAUAUUAUAAUAAUAAAGGCAACCUUUCUACAUUUGUUUAAAAUGAAAUAUUUAAAAGUAAAAAAUGAUAUAAUAUAAGAUUACUGCAACAACAGGUAACCUAGAAGGUGUUCUACAAUAUUAUUGAUGACAUAACAAUGUCAUUAUUAUGUCAUAAACAUAAAUUACUAAUUUCAAAUACCUAAGCACCAUCAAUACCCUAAUCCCUUUACAUAUGUAUAACAACACAUCAACAACAUAUUGGCAUUUCUCAUAAUAUAUUUAACUUUUAUUGGUUCUUAUUCGGUUAAAAGUAGGUUUGCGUUUUAACUAGAUUAGGAACGAAUAUGAAGUCAAAUAUGGAUAGAGACCUUAUCGGUGAAAAACCAUAUUUANCUCUUAUUAUAUUUAAAUUUAAAUUUUUAAAUUUCAAACUUUAAAUUUAAGAUCAAAUUUAAAUUUAAUAAAUAUAAAAUAUCAAAUUUUAAAUUUCAAAAUUAAAAUAUCAAAAUUAAAAUUUAUAAUUUAUAAUUUAUAAUUUAAAAUUAUAAACUUUAAUUUUGAGAUUAUAAAUUAUAAAUUUUAAAAUUUUAAAAUUUUAAUUUUUAAAUUUUUAAAAUAAGAAUAGGGGUGGGAACAAUUAAUAAAAAUAAUUUAUUAUAAUAAAUUUAUAGAUUUUUUUUAAAAUUCUACUUAAACUUAAAUUUAAUAAAAAGAAUUUAUUAUAAUACUUAAAUAAAUUUAUUAUAAAUUUUAUUAUAAUAUUUAAAUAUAAAUAAUAUGUAUUAAUAUAGUAUAAUUAAUAAUUUUAUAAUAAAAAUAAUGUAUUAUAAUAUAUAAUAUAUUAUAUUUAUAUACUUUAGUUUUAAUUCAAUUUAUAAUUUUAAUUAGUUUGAAAUUAAGCAUUGGAAUAGCGCUAUUCCACCAAAAUGGUGGAAUAACAAAUUCCUUGCUAUCCCGGGAUAACCGGGAAUAGCAAGGUUUGACCGGGAUAAAAUAUUCCGGCCAAUUUUCAUCCCGUUUGGCGGAAUAACAGGGAUAACUUUCAUUAUCCCCGCUUAUCCCCCCAACCAAACGGGGUUAGUGUUAUGUCCAAAUUGGAAUCGUAACCUAGUCCAAACCGUGACACUUCAAUAGCCUCACAUCAGAUGAUGUGGGAGAGUGUGAUGAGUUUAUAAGUAACGGAUAAAUUAGUAAUAAUAACUAGGCUUAUGAUGUAUAACGGACAUACUGGUAAUAAUAAUUGUGCUUAAGCAUUCUGGUCCGUUGGUUUGGGUCUAACAUGUUAUUAUUGCUAGUAAAUCGGGUCGUUACACAAACUAAAUAAUUUACUGGGACCUAACUUCCUAGACUAUUUUCUUUUAUUUUAUUUUAUUUUAUUUUUGUCUCAGACCGAUUAUUUUGGGUCGGAUUCUACUUCAUUAGGUUUUACUUUGCCGCCCUUGCUUGCGACACAGCUUUACCCACAAGUCCACAACCACGCAAAAGCCACUUUCACGGCCCAAUCCAUUUGAUCAAGUAUCAAACUUUUGUUGAGAAUAGUCCAACUCAUGGGCCUAAACUUCUUGCUAGUGAAAUUUGCUUCUUUAGAAAGUAUUUGCAACUCUGAGUUCCAGGCUCUAGAUCCAUCCUAAAGCUCCAACUUUGGAGACAGUUUGCGAUCUGCACUGCAUCAUAAAAAGUAAUUUUGAAAUAGGAUGUCACUGGCGUGACAGAUAAGCAACACUGGAAAAAUUAACUGACCGUCGUCCUUAACGCAAGUGGAAAAGGGCUUGGCAAUUAAUACAUGAAGUCACAAGUUCGAAAUUUAGUUGCUUCACAUUUCCAGCUGAGUUUAUUUUCAUUAGAAAAUGAAUAAAAUAGGUAGCAUGCUACCUUUCUCUCUCUCUCUCUUAAAAAAAGAAAAUUAAACACUGGAAAAGUUAGGACGCAUGAACUAAAACUACCCUGCUAUAAUCUUCAUAUGGCUUCAAUGGCAUGAUUUAGCCAAAUUGGAUUAUUUCUGAAGGCUUUAUGCUGUAUAGGGGUGUAGACAAGCCGAAAAAUUCAGCUCGUGUUCGGCUUGUUUACUAAAUGAGCGAUUCGAUCUCGAGCUCAUUUCGAGUCGAACACGAGCUGGCUCACGAACAGCGAGCUGGAUUGCCACCCCUAAUGCUGUAUUGGUUGGGCGCAUGUGUUUUGGUUGAAGGGUCGUACUAAUCUUGUUGAAUCCUCAAGGUACUGAGGCACAAAUCUACCUUUUUUGUUUGAUGAAAAUAUCUACAUGUGGGCUUUAAGGAGCCGUGUUUCAAACUCGGCAAAGGGCCAUUAAAUUUCUAUGCCUUCCCCACAUGUUGGCCCCUUAUUAAGAUCAAAAAUAAAAAAAAAAAGCCAAACUUCUAGUGGUUAUUGGUACAAAUGUUUGGAUACAAUAACACGAUCUAAACAUGAUCAAACAUGGCACACAAAUUGCUGAGAAAAUCUAAAUCGACACGACGCAAAUUGUUUUAAUGCAAAAAUUACACAAUAUGAUAUAUUAUAUUAUAAUAUAUGACAUGAAUAAGAAAUAAGAUAAUACUGUAAACAUGUAAAGUCAUGUUGUAGAUAUUUAGGCAAUAUUCGAGUUGACAUAACUAGUUAGCAUGACCGUUGAAUUCAAACAUGACUUGCUAAUCAGGUACGAAUUGAAAAAAAAUGAUGCAAUUAGGGAAUUAAUAAAGAAUUAGUAUAAUCGACUCUUCGCACGUGUUUAGUCUCAAAUAGCCUCAAAAUAGGCCAAUUUUGAUACGUCAUUUUUUGCAUAAAUGUUAGUUAGCGUAUUUUUUAUCCUUAAACCCUGCAAUUAUCACUAAAUAGGAAUUUUAGUAGUUAGCUUAAGGAACUUAUGUUGUUUAAUAGCUUCUUUUCCUCCGUUUUUUAGGUGUAAAUUAAUAUUUGCUUAAAGCGGCUGUUGCUUCCAUGAGUUUUUCUCCGUAUUUUCUUUUUUACAAAAAAAAAGCUGAAACAAUAGAAGUUUCCGAGUUUAUAACAUCUCGAGGCAAAAUCUAGUAAAAAAAUUAAAAAUUAAAAAUUAAAAAAUUAGUUUCUGAACUUAAUGUCAAAUAAGAUUUCAAACUCUUACUUUCAACAUUUUUUUUAGAUUUUUAAAUGUAUUAUUUUGGAUAAAUUUAUUUUAUUUUUAGUGCUAAAAACCCGCCAAGGGUUGUCUAAAUCCUCGAUGGAUUUAUCCAAAAAAUUAUUUUAAUUUAAAAUUAAAAGUUAAAAAAAAUAAUUUAAUAUUAAGUUCAAAAACUAAAAAUUUAUCAAAUAAAAAUUAUUUUAAUUUUUUCUUAUAAUGUUUUUAACAUAUAUUAGAAUUUUUUUUUUUUUUUAAAUAGUGGGUACGAACAAGUUCAACCCGCUAAGUGCUGAAGAGAGCUUGAUGUCAAUACCUGUUUUAAUUAAGUAGGAUAUCUCAAAAUGUGCAAUCCGAUGACCAUGUGCGAGGAUGAUAUCAAUAUAAGUUCUAAUUAACUAGGAUGUCUCAAAAUGUGAGAUCUGAUGCCAACGUGGCGACGCAUCACAUCGCCUUAAAUGGAUAAUUUGAUUAUCCGUUUUCCGAUAAUUUUUUUUGUCCUACCUCCCAACUUUUCCUAUGUCAAUAUUAAAAGCAUAUGUAGUACUAAUUAAGUACCAAACAUUGUACUAGCAUUUACCCUAAAAUCCACUUAUUAUUCAUCUGCGUACAAACUUUUUGUACAUAGUAGUGGUAGUGAUAUUUGAAUUGCCAAAAAAGCAAGCAACUAAUUGCCAUUUUGUGGUGAUGAUCUCAUCCAUAAUCUCACAAAGGCAAUGUAUAUUAAAUCAACAUUACCUUUAACAAGAUGUGGUUGAUGUGUGGAGUGGCCCCUCCAAUUGAUAUUUAAGACUCAUGAGUGUUGCCUCCACUGAAGAUUAAAAUUGGAUUAUACAAUAAUAAAAAGGUUUAAAAUUUAAGUAAUCAUAUUUGAAUUUCACUAUCAUGUGCUUUAUGUCAUAAUGCCAUAUCUUUAUUUACUGUAGUUAAAAAUGACAAUUGAGAACUAGGGUUAUAAUUUGUGACCCCAUGAGCCACCCCUCGUGUGUUUUUAGUGAAAACUCCUUAAAUCAUAGAAAAUAGGGUAAACUCUAGAUACCACCCCUGUGGUUUCGCACUUUCUCAUUUUAGUAUUCUGUGUUUUAAAGUGUAUCAAGUUAGUGUCCCGUGAUUUUAUUUUUAUCUUUUCGUCAGUUUUUCCGUUAAUAUUUCGUUAAAUUAUAUGCAAAAAACUUCAGAUACUCCACCUAGGCUUAUCGAAUAUUUACUUUACCCUUUAGUUUUAACUUUGUCACUGAAUUAAUAAAAAAAAAUAGUGAAAUCGAUCAUAAAAAGAUUAAAACAAAACCACAUGAUACUAAAUUGAUAUAUUUUAAACCACAUGGUACUAAAGUGAGAAAGUGUGAAACUACAGAGAUGGUAUUUGAAAUUUUCUCUAAAAUAUAAUAGUUCUAUAACUGAAAUGAAUAAAACUAUAUAAUAGUAAAGCAUUAUGUAAAAUAUUUCUUUACAAAUGCAUUAAUUCAAAUACUGAAAAAGCUCAUGCAUUUUCUUCUUACAGAAGUCUUUCAAAUAAACAAUUUAUGAUUAGCUUCUUCUUUUUUUUUCUUUUUUUUCUUUUUUUCAUUCACGGUUUUAGAUGCGUGUUAAUUGGUGACUAAAAUACUACUUAAAAAAAAAAAAACUAAAAAGUAUACAGUCGGAAUAUAAUAUAAAUUGGCAAGGAUAUUGGCCUUCUUAUAUAUGCCGAGUCUCAAUUUGAUGAAAUUCUUUAUGUAAGGAUACACCAGGGAAACAGAGUAAGAUACAAGGAACUUUUUUAAACUCGGCUUAUUACUUAUAAUUCAAGGAAAAUUUUAUGCUCAUAACAUUCAACAUGCUUACAUACAGAGUUGAGCUAGAAUACUAUCGAUAGCAAAUGGGCUUCGUUGCCACUUAUUUAUUUUCGAUGAUAGAGCCCAAAUCGACGAUCGGCACCGUUGAACAUGAUCUAUACUACUUGAAGUGUUUAGAAAUUAAAUUUCAAUUCUUUUCGACAUUAUUUGCCUAAUGAUCAAAGGGGUUUCAAAAUUUGUAAUUUUAAUGGUCGAUAUGAGGCGUUUUCUCGUUUAACGGCGUAAAGAUAUCCAAAUAAAUUGAAUUUUUGUUAGAAAAUUUUUUAAACUAUUUGAAACAAGAUCUAUACUCUUGAUCGUGAUUACAAGACUUCUAUUAUCAUUUUUUAAAGAGUAUUCAUUUUCAGCCAUUCAUUUUUCUGNGCUUCUCGCCUCCAGCUAAUUACAAUGGUGGAAGCCGGUAAUCUAUUGUUAAAUAGAUCUAGGGCGAGACUAUGGUUAAACGGCACGAAUUAUGCCUAUUGGAAAGUUCGCAUGAGAGCUUUUCUAAUCGCAAUCGAUGAGUGGGUAUGGAAAGCUAUUGAAUUCGGAUGGAAACAUCCUACCGAGGUUGUCGAUGGUGCUACCGUCCCUAAACCACGAAACAAGUGGACUAAAGAUGAAAACGAGUCAUCUUCGUUUAAUAGUAAAGGAAUUAAUGCUUUAUUCAACGCUUUAUCGCAAACGGAGUUUACUCGGGUUUCGGCAUGCGAAACGGCCAAGGAAAUUUGGGAUACUCUACAAAUUACACAUGAGGGUACUAGUUUAGUAAAAAUUCAAAAGCUCAAAAUGUUGACUAGUCAAUUUGAUUCUAUUCGUGUGGAGGAGCAUGAAUCUUUUACCGAUUACUACACUAGGCUUCAAGAUAUCAUUAAUACAUGUGCUAAUUUGGGAGAGAAAAUCCCGGAUUGUAAAGUUGUUCGUAAAAUUCUUCGAACUCUUCCGGAACGUUUUCGGGCUAAGGUUGCCGCGAUCGAAACGGUUAAACAUCCGGACGAGAUGAAGGUCGAAGAAUUAGUAGGUGCUUUGCAAACUUAUGAGAUGACUUUUCCUACUAAUCAAUUUUCUUCCAAGUCUUUCUCUAAAAGCACAGGGGUUGCAUUAAAAUCGACAAAAGAGAAAGACGACGACUCGAAUUCUGACGAAGAUGUUUCGCUUGCGGACUUCGAACAUCAAUUAGCGCUCCUCACGAAGAAAUUUCGCCGGAAUUUUCGAAAGAAGAAUAGAUCGGACAAGACUUCAUCGUCUAAAUCUUCAUCGUCUUCAUCUAAGGAGAAGAAGCGUGCAAAGGCUUCGAAAGAAAAUGAUGUCUUUGAAGGCGAGAUCCAAUACUUCAAGUGCAAAGGCUACGGCCACAUUGCGACGGAUUGUCCUUCAAAGAAGACGUAUAGACAAAAGGCUAUGCAAGCAAAGACGUGGGAUGAUUCAACAUCAAGUGAAUCAUCGUCAAGUGACGAAGAAAAGAAUGAUCAAAUUGCUCUAUUUGCUAAUACUUCUAAGUCGAAUGUUGUGUGUUUAUCCUCUAUUGCCACUAACUCCAAUAUUUCUCUUUCUUCACAUGAUUCAUCGAGCAACAAUGACGAAAGUGAGGAGGAAUCAAACGACGACGACAUAGCGGAAGCGUACAAUCAACUUCUCAUUGAAUCAAAGAAGAUGGCUAAACUCAAUAAGAAGUUGAGACGUCGUUUGUUGGAACUUGAGGAGGAAAACAACAAAGUAAAGAAUUUGAAUAAGGUUCUUGAGGAGGAAAGGGAUUCAAGUUUGAAGAUUAAUUCGGACCUCCAAUAGAAGCUUAGUGAUGCGGAAUCAACGAUCAAAUCCUCUAACGACAAGAUUGAAUUUUUGGAGCAUCAAUUUCAUGAAUCGCACAAGUCCAAUCAAGACUUGAUCAAUCAAGUUCGUUAACUCCAAUCCGAUCUUCAACAAUUUUCUUCGGGAUCAAAGAAGUUGGACAAAAUGCUUGGAUUGGGUCAAACGAGCAAAUUGGGCCUUGGAUAUGAACGGACAUAUGUUGAGAAGGAUCAAACGGCAACAUCUAAAGUCUCAACAAUUUUAAAAGGCAAAGUGUGUCAUCGAUGUGGCAUCGAAGGACACAUCAAAAGGAAUUGCCCAAACAAAAAUGGCAAGUUACAAUCGGCAAAUUCAAAACAUCCAUCGGCGUCAUCUACAACUCGACUUCCCCCUCGGAAUCAAAAGCAAAAUCAAGUGAGUCGAGUGCUUCAAAAGAAUCGGAUUCUACCUAAGCCACAUGCGAACCGGUCUUCUAAUGCACAACGCCAAGUUCAUGCAAAACAGGUGCAUAAGGCUCAACUACAAAAUCAACCGAAGCCUCAACCGAAGAAAACACCAACGGUUGAUCAAAAGUCUAAACAAACGGCAUCUAACGUCGACAAGUCGAGAAAACCAACGAUCCGACAAGUUUGGAUCCGGAAAGGUGAUAUCUUUCCUUGCUCAUCGUCCUAGUCUUUUUGAUCGUUAGUGUAAUGCUUUGAUUGGUGCUUGUUGCAUAAUUUUAUUCAUUGCAUUACAUGUUUAAAUAAUUUUUGGUGCAUUGAAUUUUUGUCUUUUUAAAAAUCAUUUUGAGUAAGAGGUAUUUGGGAAUUCAAAUUUUUUUUAGAAAGGAGAUGAUUGAGAAUCAUUAUUUUGAGAAGAGAAAUUUCUUUAAUGUCGCGUAAACGGUAUUUAACUUCACAAUCAUAUUAAGUUAAAUUCAUAUUAAUUAUCGUUUUUACUCCAUUUCUUAUUAUUUUGACAAUAAAUUAAUAUAUGAUUUCUUAAUGCAUAAAUUCAUCAAAAUUUUGAAAUCAAAUUUGAUUUUUUGAUGAUUAAUUCAUCUUGGUUGUGAGUGUUGGAUAUGAUGAAUGGGUAUUCUCUAAUUGACUAAAAUUCGUCAAAAUUAUUUUCAAUUGUGAGAUUGCCUAAUUAAGAGGGAGUUUUUAAAUUUAUAAAAAAAAAGAAAAGGAGAAAAAGAAACUACUAUGUUUAAAAAGAUGUGGAAAGAGUUACAUCCAAAAGGAGUGUGAAAACUACCACCACAUGUAGGAAAGAGCUACCACCCCGGUCGUCCGGCAAGUGUGUGAAGCUACCACAUGGAAUUUAAUUGAAAAAGCCGAAAAAAGUUGGAAAAAUAUAAAUAUUUAGAAUUUUCGGAGUAACAAGGUGAUAGUUUGAAAAAGAUGCUCAAAGAGCCACCCCCGGUAUCAUUUUGGUUAAAUCUCUAUUUUGAACAUGUUACGACAAAUUUGUGUCAAUUUUAUUGAAUUUCUAAAAAUUAUUUUUCAUCAACUUACAUCUUGAUGGUUUUGAAUUAUUAAAUCACUUUUGAUAAUGGAAUUUUGAUGUUUUGAUGGAUUUUAAAAUUUUAUAAUAUUUUAUUUUCAUUAUAAUAAUUUUUGGAGUAAAAGUCUUAAUUUAUAUGAAAUUAAUUUAAUUUGAUGGAUUUUUAAAGUCUAAUUUUCGAAAUCUGAGAUCGUGUACCGGUACACGAUCCAGUACCGGUACGAGUACUGUAGCCGCGUCUUAUAUAACCGGAUAUAGGGUUUAUUUCUCUCUCAAAUCUGAAUCAAAUUCCACUCUCUCUCUCUCUAAAAUUGCCUGGUGUCUUCCUCUUGCAGAUCUACACGUUUUCCCUCAGAAAUUUGUCAGUAUUUAGCUCGGAUUUAAUUGUUUCAUCGCGUUCAUGUUUAUUUUUCGAAAAUAUUCCGAGUUGAAGCUAGAUCUCUGUUUUUAAUCGUUUUUGAUGCAAUUUUUUGCUGUAGAUCAGUGCUUAAUGACAUUAUCUUGCUUCUAGAACACUUGAUUCACAUCAAAACACGUUAUUUUUCGUUGAUCCAUGUUCUAAGCUUCAUUUUUCAUGUAAUUUCGGAAUUUUUUGUAAAAUGUCAUUUUUUAAUGAAAAUUUUUGCAUGAUCUGGUUAGAAAUAGCAUUUGUAUGCAUUCUAAUGUUAUUAGAAAUUUUUUUCGCUAUUUUUACAGAUUUUUCAAAAUUUUUGUUCAUGCAAGGCUAAUUUUUAUAGGAAAAUGACGUUUUCGCUUGUUUUGCUGAUUUUGGUGCUGAUGGCUACGAGACGUGGACGAGGUGGUGGUAGAGGUCGUCGUGGGUCCUCUAAGAGGACACGUACAACGGGAGAAGCGUCCGGCUCAGAUCCGGAUUAUCAGGAAAGCUCCCCUGAAGAGACAGAAGAACCUACUGCUCAUCUUGACAAGGGCAAAGGAAUAGCUGGCGAGUCCUCACGUGGCGGUGGUUCUCGUGCAAGAGAAACUCGGUCGAAGCACGCUGCGGAUAUUCCUCCAGAGCGACGGAGGAUGUACAUGAGCAAGUCUUGCAUUGCGGAGCGUUAUGUCAACUUCACCGAUCUCAUUCAUGACGUUCCUGACUUUGGCCGGUUACUUCAGCGGGUUCCCAUUGAGCCGGUUGGCAGAGUCCCUGCUCGCGCUCCUUUUUGUGUGAAACUCAUUCGUGAGUUCUAUAUGAACGGGCGAGUCCUAGCAGAAGAUGAAGAGACUGGGACAUUCCUAUUUGAGACAUUCGUGCGUCAACAGAAGAUCGCCGUUACCCCAUAUACUAUUGGAGAGCUUUUGGGGAUGAAUGUAGACACUACGGGCCUUCUUUAUACAUCAGGAGGAUUUCAGUCCUUGUCUCAUUGGGAUACUGUUGUCGGAGCUAUUUGCAGAGCUGGAGUGCAAACGAAUCGUGCCUAUGUAGAGUCCAAGGAUUUGCGACCGGAGUAUCAUCUACUUUCCUUGGUCUUGAGCUACAAUGUUCAACCUACGAUUGGUACCAAAAGGAUUCGUUGGGAUCGAUUGCUUCUACUGUUUUUACUUGGUAACCCGGGGCAAGCUCAUGGAUUGAACAUCAACAUUCCCUUUCUGAUGUGGCAGCGGAUGGUCCAUGUGAUUCAUGCGUCUGCCAGACGGGAUCUACUUCCAUUUCCUCUUUUGAUCUCGAGGAUUUUACAGGAAAAUGGAAUAGAUGUUUCUUGCGACAAGUACGAUUUUGGCCUUGGUCCUAUCGAUGCUGUUACUUGGGCCAAGUCAGUUAGUACACUAAAAAUUUUUCAGCAGACAAAGGGACCGUCGCAACCAGCUUCACGCCAGGCACCUCCACCUCGAGCAGAGCGUGAGGGGUCUUCCAGUUCAGGGGGAGAAUCUCUUCGCCAAGAAGUGCAGUCGUUGAAGAAGAAAGUAGCUGAUCUUGCCAGAAAAGUGGAGUUAGGCAUGAAGAGGAUGAUGGACAAGUUGGGAUGUAGACAUGACGAUAUUUUUCUUCCUCAGCCUGUCUAUACCAGGACUACUUCACGACAUCCUCUUAUUCCUCCAUCCACUGAAGCUUCGGAUGCUGGAGGAUCUGGAGCUGGGGCAGGAGAUGAUGAUGAUGAUGACGAGGACACUGAGUGAUUACAUCCUCGCACUUAGUCUUGCUGCUUCUCUAUGUUUACUUUUUAGGAUGAUGUUUUAGUUUUGCCUGUUUAUCUUUCCUUUGCAUGCUUUUAUUUUUGUUUAGGCCUAUAACUAUGACUAGACUACUAUUAUGCUUUCUAGUAUGUUUUCUCUCUCUAUUUGCUUUCUUUUGGCAAUUUUUGACAAAAAGGGGGAGAGCAAAGUUGAACAGGGGAGAGCAUGAGUUGAACAGGGGAGAGCAUGAACACUCAGGCAUUGAACUAAGCAAAGGAUGAUGAGUCCAAGAACAAAGGGGGAGAUGUGAUCGAGAUGUGAACAAAUGGGGAGAAGGUAUAAGAAUUUAAGAUUAAUCAUUUUUGAAUGAAUUAUUUUGCAGGAGAUCAAGACUUCAAGACUCCUAGUUGUGUCUAAGUCAUAGAGUUUGUUUUAGGAGUUUUGAUGUAAUUUUAGGUCUCAAAUUGUAUUUGGAUUACACGCGAGGAGUUCAAUGUUUUGGUGAUGACAAUUGAACUUCAAAUCUUUUAUGUAUUUUUUUUUGUUGUGUGAGUUUUGUCACGAAAUUGCCAAAGGGGGAGAUUGUUAAGGAUUUUGUAUUGGCAAGUUUCGUGAAGUGAGUUGGAGUCUUGAAGGAUCAAAGCGGAUUGACGAGGAUUGAAGAAUUCAAGAUUUCGAAGAUUUUGGAAANGUGGCAACGAAGCUCAUUUGCUAUCAAUAGUAUUCCAGCUCAACUCCUCAUAUACAUAGAAUUAUAGAAUCACUUGUGCUUUAGUGAUCACUUAACAAAUUCUUUAACCAGGAAAAGAAAUAAAAGCAACAAUUAAUGAACUAGGCUAGGCUAAUUAAUAUUGGGGUCCAUAGGCAAUAUAGAUAUAUGUGGAGUGAAGUGAAAUAUCAUUUUCUAAAUUUACAUGGUUGAAAAAAAAUAAUGCACUUCCACUUCCACCAAAUUGUAGGGCCCCAACCCACAAUAUAUACACCCAAAAGGACACAAUAUAUAUCAAACUACUUUAAUGGUGCCCCAUUACUCAUAAGAAUCUUAAACCAUGCACUAAAAACAAUGAGAGAAUUUUAUAGACCAGGUCAAAGAACUAAUGAGACCUAAAACAACAAGUAAAAAAAAAAGGUUUGUUGUGGAAAAAAUAAAAAUUGGGUUGGUGUAGGUUCUCUAAAAUCCAGGUUCUAGGAACCUUGCACAGCCCUAGGUACAAAAGUGUAAUUCCAUUAGAUAGAUGUAUUGAGAUGAAAAAUCAUACCAGGUGGUGGAUCCUCUAUGUCCAGAAGGAAUAUCUCACAGCCUAGCAAUAUCUUAAAAAGAUUUUCUAGAUAUUAAAUUAAAUUAAAGGUGGUUGAAUUAAUAAAUAUUCUAUCCAAUAUAUGCUCAUAUGGCUUGCAUUAUAGAGGUUAUUCUACGCAUAACCAGUAAGCCAACACAUCAAGACCUUUUCAAGAGACUCUUGAGGAUAUGUAGAGCAAUAAUAAUUUGAAAAAAGUUAGCAUUAAUGUGUAGGCUUGAACGUAAACUAUAACAUAUUUUAGAGAGAUAAUUGUAUAUAGAUGUCGGAUCGUUGACACUAAUCAUUAAUUCCAAAAGCUCGGGCUGUUAGAAAUAUACAACCAAUUCACUUAAAGCAUACAGAUACAAUACCUAUGGAUUUUGGUUAUCACUCGGCCCAACCAAUCCCAUACCAUUUCGAACAUGACUCGGCCCACCCAGCCUCACGUCAUUUCGAAUAUGACUCAGCUUACCCAGCCUCACGCCAUUUCAAACAUGACUCGGCCCAAUAUGGCCUCCUGCCACAAAGCAGGAUGCUGACUCAUUUAAGCCAACAAUUUCUCCUCUAGCACCUGCACACAUUCGUAGCACACAAAAAUCAAAUCUGUGAUCUCUGACUCUGAUACCACUUGUCGGAUCGUUGACGCUUAUCAUUGAAACAAGAGAAUUGAGAAAUUUUUAAUAUAUUAUUCAUACAAAUCCAUUCUCUUAUAUAAAGAGAGGAAAAAAGGUUUACAUGGAAGUACAUGAUCGCAUCCUGUUAUACAAAGAAAUAAUCAAAAGGAUAUAGAAAUAUUAUUAUCCUAAAAAGAAAGUAAUAUACAUAGUAACAUAUACAAUAUAAAUGGUAACAUAUAUAAUAUAUAUAUGGUAUGUAAUAUAUAUGGUAACAAUCAUUAAUCUCAAAAGUUUGAGCUGUUAGAAAUAUUCAAUCAAUUCAUUUAAUGCGUAUAAAUACAGCGCCCAUGGGUGUUGAUUGUGACUCAACCCAACCAGCCUUACUCCACUUUGAAUGUAACUCGAUCACACAGUUUCACGCCAUUUCAAACAUGACUUGACCCAAUAAGGCUUCCCACCACAGGAUAGGAUGCUGACCCAUUUAAGCCAACAAUCCUCACUCCAGCACCUGCACAUAUUCGCAGCAUGCAAAAAUCCUACCCUUGAUCUCUUGCUCUGAUAUCACUUGUUUAAUUGUUGGCGCUAACUAUUAAUCCCAAAAUGGGUGAAUAUGAUGAAAGUGUUAACUCUAAGAAGGCACAAAAGGCGACGGCCAUGCAGGAAAGAUGAGCUACACUCGGUUAUGCAAAAAAAUGCAUGACCAAAUGAUCAUAGAGGACCGGAAAACCCUCAAGGCUAUAAGGCAUGAUGUGAACUCACUAUCCAAAUAGUAGGCCUCAUCAGCAUCGGAAAAAUCGAUGGAAAUAAAGAAAAAGAAAGAAGAUUCUUGCUAGAAACGGCUUGAAAAUAAAGGACAAUUGAGCGUAUCACUCACUAACUAGUAACCCUUUGCAAGCAUGUGGAUCAAACUCAAUGAAGAAUGAGGCAGGAUCAAACUCAAUGAAUAAUGAGGCAGUUGUAUUCCACCUCUAGAAAAAGCACCUGAAUAUUACUACUGCCAAGAGUGUUAAGGAUUUUGUAUUGGUAAGUUUCGUGAAGUGAGUCGGAGUCUUGAAGGAUCAAAGCGGAUUGACGACGAUUGAAGAAUUCAAGAUUUCGAAGAUUUUGGAAAGUAGCUCACAAUGUGAAUCACGCCGUAAAGGUAAAGUUUUAAUUCAUGUUAUGGUGAUUCAUACUUAGUUAUAGGCAUUAGAAUCAUAAACUUAAAGUUUAAUGGAUUAGAAAGUUCUUCGGAACAAUGCGGAACCUGAAACAAUGCAAAACACAAAAAAUUGCAUUGUGUACCGGUACAGCAAUUGACCUCGUACCGGUACAGCCAUCAACAUUGACUUCGUUUUUUCGUUCCGCCAUUAUGUACCGGUGAUAGCCUUUCGUGUACCGGUACACAGUGUAAAAUCGUGAAAACUUUCUAAUUCGACUCCGAUUGAUUUUAAAGUCUAUAAAUAAGCUAUUGGGGUUCUCUAAUAGAGGUAGCAUCACGAAAAUACAUGUUUGAGAAACCCUAGGGCUCGGAUUUCAACUAAAAUCUAUUUUCUACAAAAAGUCUCUUUUAGGUCAAAUCGAGAGAUUGGAUUUUCAUAUUAAUAUGUCGAUUUGAUCUCCGCUUCGCUUGGAGUUCUAUUCCCUGGUUUUCUAUGAUACUCCAAAGCAAAGGAUCACCAUAUUCAUGAUAUUCUUCAUGGUGGCGUCGUGGAUUCGGCGUAUUUGACGGCGGUUCGUGGAUUCGGAUCGUGGGCUCGUGGAUUCGACUGGCGUCGUGGAUUCGGCGUGAUUGAAGCUUCGUGGAUUCGAAGUGGAGGCGUUCGUGGAUUCGGACGUGAGGGCGUGGACAACCCGGAGGGUAGCGCGAAGAUUCAUAGGAGGUUAAGAGAGGUUAAGUCCGUGGAGUCGGUAAUCACCUUGUAAUCUUUUCUCUUAGUGAAUUAUUUUUUCGCGUGUUGGUCCCGUGGGUUUUUCUCCAAAUUGGAGUUUUCCCACGUAAAUCUCGGUGUGCUUUUUAUUUUUCGCAUUUAUUUUUAUUGCAUCGAGAUUUGUGGUUUUUGGCCGUUACACCUAUUCACCCCCCCCUCUAGGUGAUAGAUACAAUCUAGAUAGAUCCUCGGGCUCCUCAAAACUUUCAAAGAGUUGCUCAAAGUCCAGGAGCACAUAUCUGAACCAACUCAAAUAGAAAUACGCAAGAAACCCCUGAGAUUCCCUAAAGCUGGUAGCAAGACGUUAGGCCUAAGAGAAGAAGAGCUGGAAAGCAAGACCGUUAAUUGACUACACAGCAAAGAGGGCUGAUGGUAAAGAAGAAUAUAGCGUACCUAUGAUGGUCCAAUCCUUUAUUUGAUCCAGUUUUUCUACCGAUAGCAGAUACCAAAGCCACCCUCCACAAAGGGCAGUGACUUGGCCAUAAGUUACAACCAGAGAAGAAGCCAGAAUGUCUUAGUAUGUUGAAGUAGGCAGCUCUGGGGUUGAGAGUUAAACUUGAGACCUCAGAUGAUCGAAGAUAGUGAAGAUCCAGACGAAUGCACCACUGACACAGUGAAUUAAAGUUUGUGUCCAAAACUAGAACAGAAACUGAUACUUCUGCGUACUAUGAGUUAGAAACGGCGAAUGCAGAGGCUCCAAGCAAAAGCAGAAUGCAUCAAAAAAAUGAGGUGAAGGAACUAAGAAGGGAAAGGCGCAAUAGCCUGAAGUGGAUCGGGAGGGUCUGGCAAAGAAUUGAAACAAUCAAAGGUCCACGAAGUAGGUUGUCAAGACCCGGCCUUGGCCAAUAGGCCAAAUAAACGAAGUAGAUGGAUCUAGACCCCAAAAAAGGAUUGGGCUCUAACAAGAAAAGAGAAAAUGAUAAGACGUAGGUCCAGCUCGGAUCUCUCCCACCAGCGGACAUUAACAUAGUAUAAGAUAUACUAUGCUAUAUCUUGGAUAGAGCCGAAUGAAUAAAAAAAUUCCUAAGAUGAAGAAAGAGGAGAAGUGGUGCAGCUUGAAGUCACCAAAGAUCAGGCGAAAGUGCUAUUUUUCAAAUGCCAUCAUGCAAGAUAAAGAGAUUGAAAGGUCCUACUCACAUCAAAGGCCGUCACACAAACUCGAUACCAAAUGUAGAAUUGACAGCCGCUGAUCGAAAGAUAAGCAGCCAUUGAGAAGGGCAAUUGGUGACACCUAUUUUUCACAUUAAAACAUGAGCCGAAUCUAGAAAUAAACCAAAGGAAUAGCUGAAUGAGGGACUUUGGUGAAAAGGUUCUUCUUUGGCUAGACAACGCAUGUUGAAGGCUUGAGAUUUCAAUAAGGUUGGAGAAAGCAAGUCACGAUCGAGUACAUUUGAAACUCAAAUUUCAAGUGUUAGAUGCUGAAAAAUAAGCAUUGCUUCCAAGUAGUGGUUUAAGGCAAUGAUGCAUAACCAUCUCACAGAUAUUGCCUUGAUUAGUAGCUACUUCGAGAUUUAAGUUCAAGGACUAUAAAAUGAAAAGGAUGGCUACAGGAUGGGGAUCCGAUCAAAUAUCUUAACCAACACUGAUACUAGAGGCAUAAACCCUUGUAUAUUAGGAGUACGUGUAACGUAACUUAGGUAUAGCUCCGUCGUAGCCUAGGAGUAGCUGCAACUUAAUAUUUGCCACCUUUAUAUCCACUUUUUUGCCCAACGACACUGCCCUCGACAGCUAUUUUAUUCUUGCCGAACCACCUCACUUUCAGUAGCAAAUGUACCUUUAGUUUGCAUGCUUCCAUCCUCAUAGAACCGAUCGACUAUCAUCAGCCAGCAGUUUGCCUAUCCAGUUUUUGCUCGGAUUGCAGUCGAAGCCUUGAGAAACGAAAGCCCCGACCUUUGGCCCAUCUGUAUGAAAAUUUCGAGGCCUUUUCUCAAGCUUGAACGUGACUUGACUAUUUCCUCUCCCAUCUGUGCUCGGGAUACACUUAAAUCUAGCCUUCAAUCGAAAGGAUGUUACAUGACAACACGAACUAGAUUAUGUCAUGUGUCACGACGCAAUUUUUCUGCCAACAAUAGUAAAAUCAAAAUUCUUAACACUCAUAUAUCUAUUGGAAAAUGCUUGUUCAGUUCAAGUACAAUCAUUAUAUUUCUGGUCUUAUAUAUGGGUUUUAAAUUAGAUAAAAUUGUAGUUAUUCUCUAAGAUUUUAAGCUACCAACAAAUAAUAUUUUUAAUAUUUAUAUUCAACACUCUCCACUUAGAUAUAGGGUUGAGAUAGUUUGAUAGGCCCAAGACAAAGUUUCAAUUAAAUGAGAGAAAACUAAAUAACACUAAGAGCUUGAUGAGUGAUGAUACUAAAACUCAGAACCUCGUGCUCUGAUACUAUGAUAAAUUAGGUAAACAACCGUUCUUCUUCAAAAGCUUAAGAUUUUAGAGAAUAGUAUUUUAAAUAUUUAUAUUCAACAAUGAGCAAAACAUGUCUAGCACAUUUGAGUAAGAGUCUACUAUGAAUCCUAGUAGUUGUAUGAAUCUUUCCCACACCAAGUACUAUGCUACCUCAAACUAAAAGACAACUUAAUAACAAAGAAGAGAGCAAAAGAUGACCUUCAAUUCCCAAUUUCCUUUUAGGAGUAUGUGUCUCUUAUACUUUGGAAAGCACUGAGGUUUUAGUACUUGAAAGUUAUUUUUGAUGAUAGUGUCGAAUCGUUGGUACUAAACAUUAAUCCUGAAUGCUCAAGCUGUUAGAAAUACGCAACUAAUUCACUUAAAGUGUACAGAUACAGCACCCACAGGUCUCGAUUGUGACUCGGCCCAACCAGCCUCACGCCACGUCGAACAUGACUCGGCCCACCCAACCUCACACCAUUUCGAACAUGACUCGGCCCAACAUGGCCUCCCACCACAGGGCAGGAUGCUUGCCCAUUUAACCCAACAGAUAGGACAUUCGAUUCGACGAUCGACUUUAUUAAGCAUGAUCUAUACUAUUAGAACUAUUUAGAAAUCAAAUUUCAUAAUUUUUUAAUAUCAUUCACAAAGUGAUCAAAAGGUCUCAAAAGUAAAUAUUUUAAAGGCCAAUGUGGAAUAUUUGUAAGUUCAAUAAUGUAAAACAUUCCAAAUGAGUAUUAUUCUACUUACCUUCAACAGUAAGAUUAAUACUUUCGAUUGAAGUUAAAUUUUUUAUCAUUAUUUUUUAUGGAGCUUUUAUUUUCAGCACUUUAUUUUGAGAUUACUCGUUCAGUAGACAAACGAAGUAAAAAAUUAUAAAAUUUGGUCUCUUGAUAGUUCCAACAUUGUACUUUCGAAGUCCUGUAGAUCAUGUCUAAUGAAGCCGAUCAUCGAAUCAGAUGUCCCCUCAUCAAAAAUAACUUACAAAUAUAUAUAGAUGCCUCCGUACUUUAGACAGUAUAGUAACCUAGCUCUCUGAUCAGAAUCAAUAAUCCUGUCUGGCAAAGAAAUUGGAGGAGUUGAGCCUUUCUUGAUGAAAUGACCUGACUUUUAAUUAUCUAUUGAAAAUGCCCUGAUUAAGUUGGAUAAGAUCAUUAUGUUUCUAGUCUUAUAAGCAAAAUAUGUUCAGCAUGUUUGAGCCAACCAAUCAGAAUCCACCAUGUAGCCUAGUUGUUGUGCAAAAUUUUCCCAUUCCAUGUACUUUGCCACCUCAAUCAAAUUAAAAGAUACCUUAAAUAAUAAAGAACAGUGCAACAGAUGACCUUCCCAAUUAACUUUCUUUCAAAGUGAAUGAUUCCCACACACCCUCCCUUUCCUUUCUCUCUCUCUCUCUCUCUCUCUCUCUCUCUCACACACACACACACACACACACACACACACACACACAAACACACAAAAAAAAAAAGGAAAAGAAAAUUGAUCAUGCUAAGAACUUAAACUGGUGCAUAUAUGAUUUUAUAAAAAAAGAAAAUCCGAGAAAAUAAUUUUCUAGCUAAAAAAGUGCCUUACGUAUGUAUGGUUUGCAAGAAAUGUACUUUUCUUACAAAAAAAAAGUUUUAAUUUUACCUAAUUUUAAAGAUAUGUCUUCUUUAUAGUUUUCUAAAUUUUUAUCCGGAGAAAAAGAUAUAAAAUAAUAUUUUUCAUAAUUGUUUUCGGAAAAUAAAUUUUUACGUUUUUUCUGAGCAAGUAAACACUCUCAUUAAAGUUACGUUCUCUCUCUCUCAAAAACCCACCAAAAACAGAAAGAAAGAAAAAAAUGACAAUGCUAAGAACUUAAACCAGUGCAUGUUUAGUUUUUCGGAAAAAAAAAUAUCCGAGAAAAUAAUUUUCUAGCUUAAUUAAAAAAGUAUUUUAUGUACGUAUGGUUCCCAAUAAAAUAUACUUUUUCUGCGAAUUCUUUUUUUCAAAUUUUAAAGCUAAGUCUUAUUUUCAUUUUCUAAAAUUUUUAUCCAAAAAAAAGAAAAUUAUGAAAAGAAAUAUUUUUCAUAAAUUUUUUCCAAAAAGUAAUUUUUCACGAUUUUUUGAAAACAAACAUUCCUAAUAUGCUCUCUCUCUCUCUCUCUCUCUCCCUUUCUCUCUUUCAAAUACACAAAACCCCAACCCAAAUUCCCCAAACAAAAAUAAAUAAAAGAAAAGUUUCUCCUUCUGAUUCCCCUUGCAUGCAUAUACAACUUUUAUUACCAAACUCCUAGGAUUAGAUAUGGUUCUUUACUGAAAAGAGCACUACAUAUCACAUAAAAUGAUUGCGCGCGCGAACAAAUUCACCGUUAAGAGAGUCAAACCAAACAAUUGUGGAAUAUCCGCAAUAUGUUUAUUUUCAUUGACUCCGAAUCUAUUGUUGAAUAGUACUUUAAUUUCUCAAUGCACAAAAUUUGUGAAGAAUCUCUCACUUUAAUCCUUUUCUAAAUAAUAUAUAUAUAUAUACACACACAGUACUAUUGGAAUUUUUCUUUGUGAGUCAACUACUUUGGAAAAGGAAAUUAAUAUAUGUGUGUAUAUAAGGAUCUAACUUUUUCAUGAAGUGCCCAUCAACAUAUGCAUCUUAAAAAAAAGGUUAAAAAGGUGGUAUAUGCUGCAACAAUUGUAUGUGGAAACUUUGUAGUGAUGAUAUGACAUUAGAGGUGGAUGUAUUUUUUUUAAUUUCUUUAAUUUUCAUGGAUAAAUAUAAAGUCACGUCGAGAAUUUUAACUCUUUUGCGAAUAUAAUCAUCUAAAAUUUUAUUUUUUUAUAAUAUCAAUCCUUAUAAACUUUAUUUAAAUAACUUCAAUAGGACAAGCGAAAUAACCAAAUAAAGAUACCAGCAAUCAAAAAUCGGAUAUUUGCUUUAAUAUAGGUUGUUAAGAUUUCGCAACAGAAACGUCAAAUUGUAUUUUUUAAUCGUAAAUUAACCAUCCUAACACACUACUAAAAAAUUAAUAUUAAUGAUGCUCUUUUUGGUUACAUUUGAAAGCAUCAGCAAAUAAAGAGUCGCCGCGUAUUUAUAUAUCGACGCUCAUGCCAAGUAUUAGUAAAAUAUAUUCUGACACUUUAAAACAUUAAAAACGUGAAAUUAAUAGUAAAAUUUAUUAUUCAGUCGGUUAGAUUGGUAUAAUAGACGGUUCAUAUGCUGUCAUUUUUGAAGUGUCGGUAUUUGCUAUAUUACAGGGACGCUUUCUUCAAUCGUCAUUCAAAGAGCAUCCGUAUAAAGGGUCAAAAAAAUGAACGCACAAGCAAGAGAAAACAUAUAACAUAGACAAAAUAAGAUUCACUAAAAAAUAUAUAUAUACAUAACUCUUUUUCUACACAGUAUAGCUUCAAUUUAGUGGCAUUUAAUAAAGAAUAGUACGUACGGUAAUUUUAUUGUGAAUGAUAUUUUAAAAUAAUUUUCUUAUUGUACUUGUGUGCAAUAGAAAAUUAAGUCCCAUGUCGGAUAUUUAUUCUAGUAUUGAAGCACGGAAUAUAUAGAAUAGAUCAAGAAAAGAAAUAUUUGAACCAUAUAUAUAUAU
rnacentral:lncRNA from 1 species